UGCAGCGACGCCGCGUGAGGGAUGACGGCCUUCGGGUUGUAAACCUCUUUCAGCACGGAAGAAGCGAAAGUGACGGUACGUGCAGAAGAAGCGCCGGCUAACUACGUGCCAGCAGCCGCGGUAAUACGUAGGGCGCAAGCGUUGUCCGGAAUUAUUGGGCGUAAAGAGCUCGUAGGCGGUUUGUCGCGUCUGCUGUGAAAGCCCGGGGCUUAACCCCGGGUGUGCAGUGGGUACGGGCAGACUUGAGUGCAGUAGGGGAGACUGGAAUUCCUGGUGUAGCGGUGAAAUGCGCAGAUAUCAGGAGGAACACCGAUGGCGAAGGCAGGUCUCUGGGCUGUUACUGACGCUGAGGAGCGAAAGCAUGGGGAGCGAACAGGAUUAGAUACCCUGGUAGUCCAUGCCGUAAACGUUGGGCACUAGGUGUGGGGAACAUUCCACGUUUUCCGCGCCGUAGCUAACGCAUUAAGUGCCCCGCCUGGGGAGUACGGCCGCAAGGCUAAAACUCAAAUGAUUUGG
rnacentral:rRNA from 1 species